rnacentral:sRNA from 2 species
UGUGCAUUGAAUUCAAGCUUUCAGACUAGGCUAGCUUGGGAAAGAUUGAUAUCUGAAGCUGCCUAUAUCUCUUCUCGAAUAUAUUUCGAACUUGGAUCCGUCAACUGUGCCAUGUUUUUUGCCAGGUGUGCUGUUAAACUCAACAACAGAAUAUGGGCAAAAUUAGACAGAAUCUCGGAGAUGAAGCGAUGUAAAACCCUUGAUACUUCCGACUCAGAUAUCGAUGAUCUCUCCAACAAGGUCAAUGUGAUCAGCUUAACAUCAGAUGGUGGCGGCACACGGGAUAACUACCGUGAGGGCUCGUUGUAUUGGCCGCUUUUUACUUCACAUUACAUCGGACUUGUCAACCUGUCCAGGCUUUCCGCUCACAAUGGCCUUUUUCAGGAUUGCAUCUAUUUUGGGGAGCAGGCGUUAAAAAUUUGCAAGGC